rnacentral:tRNA from 1 species
GCCUGGGUGGCUCAGUCAGUUGAGUGCCUGGCUUCGGCUCAGGUCAUGAUCUCACGGUUUGUGAGUUCAAGCCCCACGUCAGGCU